rnacentral:lncRNA from 1 species
AAGACAUCGUGUCUAUUUGAUUCAGUCUGCUUUUCUCUAUAGACUGUCAUUAAUCCCUUCACGUUUUCAUUUCUCCAUGGCACAUGCCAGGAGCGAACUUCUCACCCCUCUGAAGUUGGGUGUGGCCACGUGAGUUGCCUUGGCCAAUGAAAUGUGAAUAGGUGAGAACUAUUUUACUUCUGUGCUGAAGCUUUCAGAACCCGCACGAGAGUCAGUGUCCUCUCUCCCUCUAACCCACAAAGUGGAGGUUCCAAGAGCGCGGGUCCCAUGGGGGGGUGUCAGGGAGUGCAGUGUCCAGCAAUAUCGUGCUAGACUUGAGGUGGGAAUAGACUUGGGUGAGAUCUGGGAUGGUUGUUAACACAGCGUUGCUUAGUCUUUCCCGACUGGUGCAUUCAUAGAGUUAAAAAAGCUGUAACACUUUGUUUAAAAAAAAAUUUUUUUUAAUUGCAGUAGCAUUGGUUUAUAACAUUGUAUAAAUUUCAGGUGUACAUCGUAAUAUACUUCAAAUUCUGUGUAGAUUACUUCAUGUUCACCACCCCAGACCACUUUGUGUUUAAACCACGAUAGUUUAAUUCAGUUCCUAUUAGGCAUCUCCAUUCUAAAUUUUUCUCUUAGCAAGUUUUGUAAAUUUCAUGCAGGAAUAGCAAAUUAAUUGGCUAAUUAGACAUAAAAUGUAUAUAGUUCUCAUUAAAACAGGUUUUAUAUUUAGGCUAACUAAACUGUAACUCCUGAUAGGCCUCUUUGAUAUGAGACAAACAGACAUAUUCAAUGUUUCUCAACAUUCUCUGUGUGUUUGAAAAUGCUGCUUUGAUAUGGAGACGAUGUGGGAGUGAAGUUCUGGCGCCUUGUCUGUGCAGCAUCUCCCUCUUGCCAGGGAGUCUCUUUACUGGGACUACAUCCUGGCCACAGGGCCAGAUUAGCAGGAGCAGUGUGUGUGGGAGAGUAAGCGUGGGACAUCAGAGAGGCAAACAGUCACCAAAGUUAGCCAGUACAGGCAGAACUAGGGAAUAAUACGUCACUUCUUUGAGCUUCAUUUUUCUCAUCUGUAAAAUAGAAAUAAUAUACUUAUUUAGAGAGGUUAUAAGGUUUGCAGCCUACUACCUGGCAUUUAUGGAACAGUUGGUAUAUUAUAAUUUCUUUUGUACAUUUAAAAAAUUUUUCUACCUGCUAUAUUAUAAACGUGUUUACUAUUCAUUAUCUAAUGGAAAUCACAGACCUACUAAAAGAUGUAAAUCUAUCAAUUGCUUUAUUUCCUCAAACGUGAUGAGCAUAGCUUUUUUUACUUACGAAGUUUCAAACCUUCACUCUGUGUUUUUCUUUUAUAACUUCCUUAGACUGCAGGUGUACUAGAUUUGGUAAUACUACUUCUCUAUCAUUUAAGUCGCUUCAUGGUGCGAGCAAAAGAAAACUAACUUAAUAAAAGGAUCUGAUCCAGGCUAAUGCAAGUGGAAAGUUCUGAGCGGGGCUGGCUUUGCCUGAGGCUUAAACCAGGCUGACCUGUCACCAAGAGCUCUCCACCUUCACCAGGCAUCUGUGCAGCUAUCCAUGUCAAACAUGACUCAGAGGAAACCUUGCUCUGAAGGUCACCCUUAGAAUCAGAAAAUUAGUUCUUAAUGAGACCCAUGGAAGCUCCUAACUGGAAAUGAGGGAUGUUUGCGUUGUUGGCGAGACGGCACCCUCACUACUGAGAGCUGAGGUGGCCCUGCUGAUUGAACAGUAAUGACUGUUCCAUUGUUAUGUUUCCUUUUGUUAAAGAUGAGCAGAUUAAAACUAAACACGAUGAAGGCAAUAACAUAUCAAUUUGUACUGGGAAAUUCCAAUUCUACAUAAUGCUUAAGUAUACUUUAAUUUUUUAUGAUAGAAAUAUUACAGUAAACUCUGAAAAUUUAAAUGAUUUAAACCAUCUCUUUCACCAAUGAUAUACCGUUUCCUCAUCUUUCUUUAAAAUUCCAUUAGGUUCCUCCACCCCAAAAGUAUUCAUACUCAUCGGCUACCUCUCCCUUACUGGAAUUGUUGAUGCGCAGGGCCACUGCUGCAAAGCAUGCACCAAAGAGCGGGAGAGGCCAUGAAUAAGACACUCAUGGAGUACACCCCAAUAAAUCCACAUGCUUGAAUUCACAGUAUUUGAAUUUCAAAACUAUGCAAUUUUUUUUUUUUAGGUUAAUUUGUGGCAGAGAAAGAACUAUGACCGAGAUGUUCUUAUGCUGUGUCAGAGAGGGAUCUGAGGAUAAUCCUCAAAUCAAUGAUGCCCCCACCUCCACCCCUUGCUAAUGGCUCCAACUCUGGCUCAGGAGUGUUGUGGAAAUAUUUACGAGGACAGAUUAAGGCAUGUAAAAACAUUCACAUUCGUCAGAAAAAAAAUCCUCAUCUCUGGGAGCAGUCUAAGACAGCAAGGAAAGGCAUUAGCUAAAAGUGUAAGGAUAAACAUUUCUUUGAGAAAACUUGUCUACAAUAUGAAGAAACAUCAGUCAAUGAAUAGAGAGUACGGUUCAAACACAGUGGGUGGAGAAGCUCCAUUUCAGAGGAAAGUGACAAGGAUGGGAGCUCCAACACUGGCAGAGAGUCCAGCAGCUCUAAUCAAUCAACAGAAGGGAUAAAAUCUUUGAACAAACUAACGUAUGGGCUCCAAGACUUUCCAGGAAACAUUCUACCACUGGCUCUUCUGCCUCUCAGCGCAAAAAAGUUGCUUGGCCCCCCACCCUGGGAUCGCCAUCCCUCCAAAUGCUAGACAAGAGUUAGACAAGUGUCAGACCACUCCUGUUUUAUAGCAACCUUGUAAAAAUAAAUUAAAAUUUUAUCUUGUGGUUACAUAAAGGUGCAGGGAAAACAAUUUUUAAAGAAGUCUCAACGUUUUAUACAGAUAUAAAGAGUUGUCUAUCUAUCUAUAUAUAGAUACACACACAACUUAAAAACUCUCAGGACUUCUUUAUAUAUAAAUUUUCCUAAUGAGACACAAAAAAACAGAAUCAAUUUUUUCCUAUACUCUUGGGUUUUUCUAGAGGAUUGCAUGACAUAUUCAGCGCUAAAUAAACCAUAGUUACCAACAUUAUUAGUAUUAUCUGAUAGAACAAAGUCCUUCAACGAGAGUAACAGUAUUAGACACUAUUACUACAAUACAGGAAUUUUAGAAACUCUUCUACUACUAGAAUCUCAAAAGAAAGGAACUUUACCCUAAAUAACUCAUUUAAUACAUGAGGAAAAUGAGGUCAAAUUGACUUCCUUAAUGUCACAUUAUGAUGUAAAGGUCCUCUUUCAGCAAAAUAAUGGAUGAUGGAACUGAAAAAAUAAACUCAGAUUUUAUUUCACUGCUCAAAGGAAUAUGAAAUGUAAAUUAAACGCCCAAGGUAAGAAAGGUAGCAAGAUCAAUCACCCGACCACCAACACGCUUAGUCCACACGGAGAACUGCGCUAGCUGCUGUCUGCAAGACAUUUGUCACCCUGUCAUACAAGACCAGCACUGUUGAAAUAGAUCCUGAAAGAUUGUGUUAAUAAGUACUACAUUUUCAAGUAAACUCUAAGUAAAUUUCAAGUGAACUCUUCGAAGACAGAAUCUAGUUUUAUUACCUUUUACUUAACCAGGCACCCACUAAAUGUUGGUUAAUGGAAUAAAUACAACAUUAACAGGCUGGUCAAGUGUUCUAAGGAAACUGUUUUCCAUGUGCUUCUCUAGAACUUUUCAUUACCUAUCACCAAACGGAGUCAGCCUGGUGGGCUGGAACAGGCUGACUCUGGAGUUUAAAGCCGAGGUCCCCCUUUACUAGCUGUGUGAUCUUGGAAUGGCUAUUUGACUCUUCUAAAUUGCAAUUUCCUACUGUGGAUGACAGACAUGAGAAUUCAUGUGAAUCACAGUGAGAAUUCAACCAGAUAACGUCUAUGCAAAAUACUGCAUAAAACAGUAUUAAAAAUGUUAUCACCCGAAUAUUCUGAUUUUUUAAAAUAGAAUUGAGCUGGAAUUGGCCUUAGAAAUGAUCUGGUUUAGAAAGCCUAUCAUUAUUAUGAGGUUAUGAUUGUCCCACUGUAAGUUAUCUUUCUAAGUACAAAUCUGAUUAUUUAACAGAUUUCCCUAUGCCGCAAGAUAAAGUCAAAACUCCUUAGCAAGCCCUAGAUUCACAACCUGACCCCCAGUGGGAUACUGCUGCCCAUCUCUAGACACAAUGUCUUUGUCACUGCACUUUUCAAGCGGUGGUCUUCCCUCCUAGAUUGAGAGUUUUCAGACAGUCCACGCUCGUGCUCGUGUAAGGGGCGGGAGGGGCUGGUGACGGCCACGACCCGGUGGUGGUCGUGCCUCACUUUCUUCCUAACAAUCCUUACGCUGUGCCGUUAACGUUUAUGAAAACAGUCCGUGCAGGAACGUUGUAAACACCCAAAGCGUUUCCAGCCUUUGUGGCCAACUGGCGAACAACCCCAUUCAGCUUUUCGCCUCCCCGUUAGGAUCAGAAUUCGGCUGGCGACUUCCUAGGGUCUGCGACUCCGAGGACCCCUGCUAGGAGCACCCAGAGGCUGUUCUCCUAACCCGGAGGUGCGCACGCGCCUGGCACAGCAGGAAAACCUCGCUCCGUUAGAGGAGGCCUCAGAGGCGCCGGGCACCGCUCGGGCCGGUGGAGGCGGAGGCCGGCCGCCCGCCCCGCAGGCCUCCGGCUCCCGCCCGGCCCGGGCGCGUCCGUUUCUCCCGUACCGCCCUCGAGGUUCUUUACCGCGGGCGGGCGAAGGGGUGGAGUGAGGAGAGAUGGAGAGGGAGGAGGCGGGAUCGCCCGGGGGUUACCCGCUCGGGGAGCCGCUGGAAGUCCCAGGUGGCCUUCCCGGUCACACGCCGCCAGGCUCUCAGCCUGACGCGCGUCUCCCCUUCCUUCGGUUGACUCCUUCGGCUUUCCGUUUUCCACUUGGGGAGGGGUGGGACUUCCGGUUUCAUCUCCGAGGGACUUCUGCCAAGAGCUGAUGGACAAAAACAAGACGGCAUACGGUCCGCUGGCCACUCGGGGCAGGAAAAGGGAAUUCGAUGUGGGUUUUACUAGGCCAGUUCCGAGAUCCUGUUUUUCGGUCGUGGUGUCCAGUGCUCGGACCACGACAGAGUCGUCCGGGGAGCCGCCGGAAGUCGCUCAAAAGAGGCAGGAAGUCCCUCCCCUUCCUCCCAGAGGGAAGACGGUGAGCCGGAGGAGUCAGUCAGAGGGGCUAGCAGGAGCGAUUCCGUCGGCAAACAGGUUAUGAAUGCCAAGUGAGCCCCCCAUGACACAAGAAAGGUCAUUAGCACUUUAUUAAUGAUGGAUACUGAGAGGAAACCGGAGAAUGAUGAGGAUGAGAAAGUAAAAAAAGAAGCAAAAGACUUGGAAAAUAUUUCAUCCCCUGAUGUAGAUGGUGGGCCUAUAUCCGAUUUGGAAUCCUCCGAGAAUUCCACAAGCAAAAGAGGUCUUUCAGAAUCAUCAAACUUUGACAGUGUCGUUGUGGAGGAAGACGAAAUAAACAU